UGGCAGGCAAAUCCACCAAAUGUGCUGAAGCCCGAUAGUACCGUGAGUCUUCGGACAAGCGGAUAAUGACCCUAAGCAUACUUCCAAGAAAAACCUCUAAGCUUCAGGUAAUAGCCAUCCGUACCGGAAACCGACACAGGUGGUCGAGGAGAGUAUCCACAGGCGCUCGAGUGAAUCACAGCUAAGGAACUAGGCAAAUUAGUCCUGUAACUUCGGGAGAAAGGACGCCACGAGCAAUCGUGGCCGCAGAGAAAUGGCCCAGGCGACUGUUUAUCAAAAACACAUGGCUAUGCUAAAUUUUAAGAUGACGUAUAUGGCCUGACACCUGCCCGGUGCUGGAAGGUUAAGAGGAGAGGUUAUUCCGAUUCGUCGGGAGAAGCUUUGAAUUGAAGCCCCAGUAAACGGCGGCCGUAACGAUAACGGUCCUAAGGUAGCGAAAUUCCUUGUCGGGUAAGUUCCGACCUGCACGAAUGGUGUAACGAUCUGGGCACUGUCUCAGCUGUGAGCUCGGUGAAAUUGUAGUUCCGGUGAAGAUGCCGGAUACCCGCAACGGGACGGAAAGACCCCGUGAACCUUCACUAUAACUUUGCAUUGACCCUGGAUAAACAAUGUGUAGGAUAGCUGGGAGACUGUGAAGCGGCUUCGCUAGGAGUCGUGGAGUCAACCUUGAAAUACCAGCCUUUGUUUAUCUGGCGCCUAAUCCCUAACGGGAGACAGUGCAUGGUGGGUAGUUUGACUGGGGUGGCCGCCUCCAAAAGUGUAACGGAGGCUUUCAAAGGUACCCUCAGCAUGCUUGGUAACCAUGCGUAGAGUGCAAUAGCACAAGGGUGCUUGACUGUGAGACCAACAAGUCGAACAGGUAGGAAACUAGGAUAUAGUGAUCCGGUGGUUCCGAAUGGAAGGGCCAUCGCUCAAAGGAUAAAAGGUACUCCCGGGAUAACAGGCUGAUCACCGCCAAGAGCUCAUAUCGACGCGGUGGUUUGGCACCUCGAUGUCGGCUCGUCACAUCCUGGGGCUGAAGAAGGUCCCAAGGGUUCGGCUGUUCGCCGAUUAAAGUGGCACGUGAGCUGGGUUCAGAACGUCGCGAGACAGUUCGGUCCCUAUCUGUUGUGGGCGUUGGAAACUUGAGGGCACCUGACUCUAGUACGAGAGGACCGAGUUGGACAGACCGCUAGUGCAUCUGUUGUGGCGCCAGCUGCAUUGCAGAGUAGCUACGUCUGGAUGAGAUAAGCGCUGAAAGCAUCUAAGCGCGAAACUCAGCCCAAGAUGAGGUUUCCUUUAAGGGUCGUCGUAGACCACGGCGUUGAUAGGCUACAGGUCUAAAGGCAGUAAUGUCAUAGCCGAGUAGUACUAAUUACCC
rnacentral:rRNA from 1 species